CCUGCAUAUUGUUAGAGCUUGGAGUUGAGGUUGGUUGGCCAAUGAACUCACAAGUGUAGGUAGUGUACUACAUGAGGGGCAAGUCUUUGGCUAAUGCCACGAGUGUCUCUGGCCCGAUGAGUGGAGUUUGGUAGUAAUUCUUGCUACAAUU
ensembl:snoRNA SNORA62 Small nucleolar RNA SNORA62/SNORA6 family